rnacentral:rRNA from 1 species
CAUGCACGAAAGCGUGGGUAUCGAACAGGAUUAGAUACCCUGGUAGUCCACGCAGUAAACGAUGAACACUAACUGUUCGGCCAGAAUGAUGGCUGAGUGGUACAGCGAAAGCGUUAAGUGUUCCACCUGGGGAGUACGCCGGCAACGGUGAAACUCAAAGGAAUUGACGGGGGGCCGCACAAGCGGAGGAACAUGUGGUUUAAUUCGAUGAUACGCGAGGAACCUUACCCGGGCUCAAACGACACAGGAAUACUUUUGAAAGGAGGUAGCCCUACGGGGUCUGUGUCGAGGUGCUGCAUGGUUGUCGUCAGCUCGUGCCGUGAGGUGUCGGCUUAAGUGCCAUAACGAGCGCAACCCCUAUCGCCAGCUACCAUCAAGUAAAGUUGGGGACUCUGGCGAGACUGCCGGCGCAAGCUGAGAGGAAGGCGGGGAUGACGUCAAAUCAGCACGGCCCUUACGUCCGGGGCGACACACGUGUUACAAUGGCAGGUACAGAGAGAAGCCAGGUGGUGACACCGAGCGGAACUCGAAAGCCUGUCUCAGUUCGGAUCGGAGUCUGCAACCCGACUCCGUGAAGCUGGAUUCGCUAGUAAUCGCGCAUCAGCC